UGGUACUCUUUUCUAUGGUGGCUUCCGGAUUGCUAUCAAAGUAAAAACAUGAAUGUUUUGGAUUCUAAACGUCCAAAUAUUAGGGGGAAAAGAAAGGCGGCAUCUUGGAGACCACCAUCUUGCAUUAUUGUACCAACCGCACCGCUACUCAGAGCUCCCUCCCCAUCACCAAUCUCAUCGCAAAGAACAAUCUUUCCCUCAACUUGGUUCACGUCCAAAGACCCUGGGAAGCAGAACCUGCAUUUUUACAUCCAAAUUCAAUUCCUCUAAACCCAACACUUGUUCUUCAACUUGGCAAAAACAGAGCACUUGUAUUAGGAGCAUCACCAGCAUAUAUAAGUGGAAUCAACUUAUCUCCAAGUUGGAAGGUGUUCACAGAGAUCCCCUGACAAAUAGAUG